rnacentral:tRNA from 2 species
UCGGGGUGUGGCUCAGCUUGGUUAGAGCGCCGUCUUAGGGAGGCGGAGGUCGCGAGUUCGAAUCCCGCCACUCCGAUCCA